GGAAGCUGAAUGCAGAGCUGUCAAUCAUAGAGGAACAUUUGGAAACGCAGCAGCCACAUAAAAGCGUUCCCUGACUUACCCCCUCUGCUCGACGAAGGAGGGAAGGAAGCUCAAAGAAAUCGUCUUGCAAGCAGUUCAGCGGCAUCAAGAGGAACACAGCGGACUGAGUCAUCUGAUGUAUAGGGUGCCCACUCACAGUCCCCAUAGAGCGCCUUCCUGUCUCCAAAACUGAGCCUCAGGAAGCCAUCCUUGCCUGCAGAGGUGCUGCGGGUUCUCCUGCCUCUUGACCUUGGGGUUUCACCAGGAAGGCCAUGCCAGUGAAGACAUAGUCUAUUCACAUCUAGAUGCUAUAUGCAAUUCUGGGCUACUUGCAAACUAAUCCACAGAGCCUGACAGGCUUUUCUUCCCCUUCCUAAUGAAUUUGAAUCUUUCCGAAAGACCCGUGAUUGACAGAGCCAGACUGAAGCUUUAAGUUUCUCUGAAGACUGAGGGUUUGCAGCAGCCUGUCUGGGCCAGGUCUGGGCGAAGAAAAGAACUCCAGACUGAGGGUGAUGUGCAGGUCGCUGGCCUGGAGGAGCGGUGGGCGAGCAGCUGGCGGAGGGCUGGGCUCUGACCCUUCCCUGUAGAGCCCUCCUUUAAUACUGAACCCUCAAGGGUCA